rnacentral:rRNA from 1 species
UACGAAGGGGGCUAGCGUUGCUCGGAAUCACUGGGCGUAAAGCGCACGUAGGCGGCUUUGUAAGUAAGAGGUGAAAGCCCGGAGCUCAACUCCGGAACUGCCUUUUAGACUGCAUCGCUUGAAUCCAGGAGAGGUGAGUGGAAUUCCGAGUGUAGAGGUGAAAUUCGUAGAUAUUCGGAAGAACACCAGUGGCGAAGGCGGCUCACUGGACUGGUAUUGACGCUGAGGUGCGAAAGCGUGGGGAGCAAACAGG